GCGCAGCAGUUGCGAAAACUUGUCAAUGCACGAAAGUGUGAACGGGCUACCCCGAGUGCCGUCCGCUGAGGAUGGCUUUUCUCCGGUGUAGUAAGCCGGAGGAAUAAGGAGAGGGCAAGUCUGGUGUCAGCCGCCGCGGUAAUACCAGCUCUCCGAGUGGUAGGGACGAUUAUUGGGCCUAAAGCGUCCGUAGCCGGCCAAGCAAGUUUCCCGUUAAAUCCAGCGAUCCAAUCGUUGGACUGCGGGAAAUACUGUUUGGCUAGGGGGCGAGAGAGGCCAACGGUAUUCCCGGGGUAGGGGUGAAAUCCCAUAAUCCCGGGAGGACCACCAGUGGCGAAGGCGUUCUGCGAGAACGGGCUCGACGGUGAGGGACGAAAGCCAGGGGCGCAAACGGGAUUAGAUACCCCCGUAGUCC
rnacentral:rRNA from 1 species